CCACUGGAUGCCAGGCUGGUCGGCACACGAUAUAGAAAAAGGAUUGUGCAUCAAGGGACUACUGGGAGUGAUGCAAAAGGUGGUACCGCUGUAGACCGUGAUCAGAGGACUGGUGACAGGCAAUUGAUUCAAGCGAAACCAGGACCCACUGGGCCACAGGGACCACCAGGUUUGCCUGGUUGUCCGGGGAGACGUGGACCAAUGGGGCCAAAAGGAGACAAAGGGCAUCCCGGACCAAUGGGGCAAACAGGUGUCCCUGGAGAUCCUGGCCCUGCAGGCAGCCCUGGG
rnacentral:lncRNA from 1 species